GAUGAACGCUGGCGGCGUGCUUAACACAUGCAAGUCGAACGGUGAACGAGGGAGCUUGCUCCCUCCGGAUCAGUGGCGAACGGGUGAGUAACACGUGAGCAAUCUGCCCUGGACUCUGGGAUAAGCGUUGGAAACGACGUCUAAUACCGGAUACGAGACGCGAAGGCAUCUUCAGCGGCUGGAAAGAACUUCGGUCCAGGAUGAGCUCGCGGCCUAUCAGGUAGUUGGUGAGGUAACGGCGCACCAAGCCUACGACGGGUAGCCGGCCUGAGAGGGUGACCGGCCACACUGGGACUGAGACACGGCCCAGACUCCUACGGGAGGCAGCAGUGGGGAAUAUUGCACAAUGGGCGCAAGCCUGAUGCAGCAACGCCGCGUGAGGGACGACGGCCUUCGGGUUGUAAACCUCUUUUAGCAGGGAAGAAGCGAAAGUGACGGUACCUGCAGAAAAAGCACCGGCUAACUACGUGCCAGCCGCCGCAGUAA
rnacentral:rRNA from 1 species